rnacentral:rRNA from 1 species
UACGUAGGGUGCGAGCGUUGUCCGGAAUUAUUGGGCGUAAAGGGCUCGUAGGCGGUUUGUCGCGUCGGGAGUGAAAACACCGGGCUUAACUCGGUGCUUGCUUUCGAUACGGGCAGACUAGAGGUAUGCAGGGGGAGAACGGAAUUCCUGGUGUAGCGGUGAAAUGCGCAGAUAUCAGGAGGAACACCGGUGGCGAAGGCGGUUCUCUGGGCAUGACCUGACGCUGAGGAGCGAAAGUGUGGGGAGCGAACAGG